rnacentral:rRNA from 1 species
CAGCAGCCGCGGUAAUACGGGGAGUGCAAGCGUUGUUCGGAAUUAUUGGGCGUAAAGCGCGCGUAGGCGGCUCGAACAGUCUGAAGUGAAAGCCCUCGGCCCAACCGAGGAAGUGCUUUGGAUACUACCGAGCUUGAGUCCCGGAGGGGCGGGUGGAAUUCCCAGUGUAGAGGUGAAAUUCGUAGAUAUUGGGAGGAACACCAGUGGCGAAGGCGGCCCGCUGGACGGUGACUGACGCUGAGGCGCGAAAGCGUGGGGAGCAA